UCCUACGGGACGCAGCAGUGGGGAAUAUUGCACAAUGGGGGAAACCCUGAUGCAGCAACGCCGCGUGAAGGAAGACGGUUUUCGGAUUGCAAACUUCUGUUCUUAGUGAAGAAGAAUGACGGUAGCUAAGGAGCAAGCCACGGCUAACUCCGUGCCAGCAGCCGCGGUAAUACGGAGGGUGCAAGCGUUACUCGGAAUCACUGGGCGUAAAGAGCGCGUAGGCGGGAUAGCAAGUCAGAUGUGAAAUCCUAUGGCUUAACCAUAGAACUGCAUUUGAAACUGUUAUUCUAGAGUAUGGGAGAGGG
rnacentral:rRNA from 1 species